rnacentral:rRNA from 1 species
UACGUAGGUCCCGAGCGUUGUCCGGAUUUACUGGGCGUAAAGCGAGCGCAGGUGGUUUAUUAAGUCUGGUGUAAAAGGCAGUGGCUCAACCAUUGUAUGCAUUGGAAAUUGGUAGACUUGAGUGCAGGAGAGGAGAGUGGAAUUCCAUGUGUAGCGGUGAAAUGCGUAGAUAUAUGGAGGAACACCGGUGGCGAAAGCGGCUCUCUGGCCUGUAACUGACACUGAGGCUCGAAAGCGUGGGGAGCAAACAGG